rnacentral:lncRNA from 1 species
AUGAGUGCCCUUGGGCCUCUUACAAGAGCACUCAUCCAUCCCAUUUAUGAGGGUUCUGUCUCCUUCUGUCCUCAUGGCUUCAUCACUGCCCAAAGGCCUCACUUUCCUUUUUUUUUUUUUUUUUUUUUUGAUGGAGUUUUGCUCUUGUUGCCCAGGCUGGAGUGCAAUAGUGCGAUCUUGGCUCACCACAACCUCCGCCUCCCGGGUUCAAGCAAUUCUUCUGCCUCAGUCUCCCGAGUAGCUGGGAUUACAGUGGUUACUGCAGUUGCCAAUCUAUGUGAAAACAAAAUAAAACAUCUGGUGAACUACCAAGUAAAUAGGUUGGAAAGUGACUGAAGUUAGAAAACAAUCUACAUGUAACUUCUGAAGUUGUAUUUAGGGAAGCUGACUGCCAUGUUGUGACGAUACUCAAGCAGCCUGUGGAGAGCCAACAUUGGGGAAACGGAGGCCUCCUAUUGAGGGCCAGCACCAACUCGCCAGUCACACAAAUAAGCCCCCUUAAAAGCAGAUCCUCCAGCUCCAGCCAAACAUUCAGAUGACUGCAGACCUGGCUGACUUGAUUCCCACCUCAAGAGAGACCCCACAUCAGAAACACCCAGCUAAGCCACUCUCAAAUCCCCGACCCACAGAAACUGUGAGGAUAAUAAAUGUUUAUUGUUCUUUUAAGCCACCGAGUUUUAAGGUAAUUUGUUACACACAAUCAGUAACUAACCCAGAGGGCAUUUCUCAUUCCAAUGCUGC